rnacentral:rRNA from 1 species
AGAGUUUGAUCAUGGCUCAGAGUGAACGCUGGCGGCGUGCCUAACACAUGCAAGUCGAACGAGAACGGAUAUAAGUUUACUUAUAUUGUCAGCUAAGUGGCGCACGGGUGAGUAAUAUAUAGUUAAUCUGCCCUGAAGAAGAGAAUAAUUGUUGGAAACGACUUGUAAUGCUCUAUAUGCCUUUAUCACAUAAGUGAGCAAGGGAAAUAUUUAUAGCUUCGGGAUGAGACUGUACGGUAUCAGCUAGUUGGUGAGGUAAUGGCUCACCAAGGCUAUGACAUCUAACUGGUUUGAGAGGAUGAUCAGUCACACUGGAACUGAGACACGGUCCAGACUCCUACGGGAGGCAGCAGUGGGGAAUAUUGCACAAUGGGGGAAACUCUGAUGCAGCAACGCCGCGUGGAGGAUGACACAUUUCGGUGCGUAAACUCCUUUUAUUAGGGAAGAUAAUGACGGUACCUAAUGAAUAAGCACCGGCUAACUCCGUGCCAGCAGCCGCGGUAAUACGGGGGGUGCAAGCGUUACUCGGAAUCACUGGGCGUAAAGAGCAUGUAGGCUGAUUAGUAAGUUGGAAGUGAAAUCCUAUGGCUCAA